UACGUAGGUGGCAAGCGUUGUCCGGAAUUAUUGGGCGUAAAGCGCGCGCAGGCGGUCCUUUAAGUCUGAUGUGAAAGCCCACGGCUCAACCGUGGAGGGUCAUUGGAAACUGGGGGACUUGAGUGCAGGAGAGAAGAGUGGAAUUCCACGUGUAGCAGUGAAAUGCGUAGAGAUGUGGAGGAACACCAGUGGCGAAGGCGACUCUUUGGCCUGUAACUGACGCUGAGGCGCGAAAGCGUGGGGAGCGAACAGG
rnacentral:rRNA from 1 species